UACGUAGGGGCCUAGCGUUGUCCGGAAUUAUUGGGCGUAAAGAGCUCGUAGGCGGUUCGGCAAGUCGGACGUGAAAUCUCCACGCUUAACGUGGAGGGGCCAUUCGAAACUGCUGUGACUCGAGUCCGGUAGGGGAGUGUGGAAUUCCCGGUGUAGCGGUGAAAUGCGCAGAUAUCAGGAGGAACACCGAUGGCGAAGGCAGAUCUCUGGGCCGUAACUGACGCUGAGGAGCGAAAGCGUGGGGAGCGAACAGG
rnacentral:rRNA from 1 species